UACAGAGGUCUCAAGCGUUGUUCGGAUUCAUUGGGCGUAAAGGGUGUGUAGGUGGCGCGCUAAGUCGGGUGUGAAAUUUCGGAGCUUAACUCCGAAACUGCAUUCGAUACUGGCGUGCUUGAAGACUGGAGAGGAGACUGGAAUUCAUGGUGUAGCAGUGAAAUGCGUAGAUAUCAUGAGGAAUACCAGAGGCGAAGGCGGCUACCUGGACAAUUGCUGACGCUCAGGCACGAAAGCGUGGGGAGCAAAAGGG
rnacentral:rRNA from 1 species